rnacentral:rRNA from 1 species
UACGAAGGGGGCUAGCGUUGUUCGGAAUUACUGGGCGUAAAGCGCGCGCAGGCGGCUAUCCAAGUCAGUGGUGAAAGCCCGGAGCUCAACUCCGGAACUGCCAUUGAAACUGUUUAGCUUGAGGACGAGAGAGGUGAGUGGAAUUCCAGUGAGAGGUGAAAUUCGUAGAUAUUGGGAAGAACACCGGUGGCGAAGGCGGCUCACUGGCUCGUAUCUGACGCUCAGGCGCGACAGCGUGGGGAUCAAACAGG